rnacentral:misc_RNA from 1 species
AUAUCGUAGCAAAGCUUCCCAAGCGUUGAAGAUUUGGGGAGUGAGAAAUCAGUUCUUGAUGGUGAGCAGUGAACUGGUAAAUGAUGUUACGUCUCUAUUUGAUUUUCUCGUGUUGUUGAUCAGUGAGUGAACCGUUAUCUCCUUACAUGGUCUUGGACAAUGCUCACUUCGUUUGCGGUGCACACUGCACAGUUCUCUAACAGA